rnacentral:rRNA from 1 species
GCCCUUUUGUAACAAGGUUUCCGUAGGUGAACCAGCGG